rnacentral:rRNA from 1 species
UACGUAGGGUGCAAGCGUUAAUCGGAAUUACUGGGCGUAAAGCGUGCGCAGGCGGUUUUGUAAGUCUGUCGUGAAAUCCCCGGGCUCAACCUGGGAAUUGCGAUGGAGACUGCAAGGCUAGAAUCUGGCAGAGGGGGGUAGAAUUCCACGUGUAGCAGUGAAAUGCGUAGAGAUGUGGAGGAAUACCGAUGGCGAAGGCAGCCCCCUGGGAUAACACUGACGCUCAUGCACGAAAGCGUGGGGAGCGAACAGG